GACGAACCCAGCGAACGUUGUUCGGAAUCACUGGGCUUAAAGGGCGCGUAGGCGGGUGAUCAAGUCCGGGGUGAAAUCCUGCAGCUCAACUGGAGAACUGCCUCGGAUACUGGUUGCCUCGAGGAAGGUAGGGGUGUGUGGAACGUUAAGUGGAGCGGUGAAAUGCAUUGAUAUUGAACGGAACUCCGGUGGCGAAGGCGACACACUGGACCUUUUCUGACGCUGAGGCGUGAAAGCUAGGGGAGCAAACGGG
rnacentral:rRNA from 1 species